UUGCUCUCACUGCCACUGAUUUGUGGUUAUGAAACCAAACCCACCUGCUAGAAGAAAAAUAAUAGAAUGAUGAAUCGGUGUGAGAAGAAAGAUCCUGGUUGUUAAGACAAAAAACACGAACAACUUCAAAUUAUACCAUGUGAUCAUGGAUUCAGUGACUAACCAGACUUCUAAGAGUGUGAAGUGAAGAUUUGGAAUAUAGCAUCGUGUCUACAAAUACGAAAAGGUGGUGCGUGUCACUUUCAAUGCAUCAAAGUCUUAAGUGGUUUAACAAUCAUUUAAUUUGUGAAAAACAUGACUUAGUGGUAAGAAAAGAAAGUUUAUGUGAAAAAAAUUAUCAAAAUACAAAGU